AACGCACAUUGCGCCCAUUGGUAUUCCGAUGGGCAUGCCUGUUCGAGCGUCAUUUCCAUACUCAAGCCCUAGCUGCUUGGUGUUGGAGCCCCUAUAGCACAUAGCUAUAGGGCUCUGAAAGACAUUGGCAGGACUUUUAUAAGCCUAAGCGUAGUAAAUUUUAUCUCGUCUAGGGUAUUAUAAAAGUUUUUAAGCCGUAAAACCCUUAUAAUUUUACAAGGUUGACCUCGGAUCAGGUAGGAAUACCCGCUGAACUUAA
rnacentral:misc_RNA from 1 species